UAGCCGUAAACGAUACUCGCUAGGUGUCGGCCACGGUGCGACCGUUGUCGGUGCCGUAGGGAAGCCGUGAAGCGAGCCACCUGGGAAGUACGGCCGCAAGGCUGAAACUUAAAGGAAUUGGCGGGGGGAGCACCACAACGGGUGGAGCCUGCGGUUUAAUUGGACUCAACGCCGGGAAGCUCACCGGAUAAGACAGCGGAAUGAUUGCCGGGCUGAAGACCCUGCAUGACCAGCUGAGAGGAGGUGCAUGGCGUAGUCGUGU
rnacentral:rRNA from 1 species